AAUACCGCAUAAGCUCUCUUUUUCAUAAGUGAGGAGAGAGGAAAGGCGCUUAGGGGUCGUCCGGAGAGGAGUCUGCGGUUCAUUAGUUAGUUGGUGGGGUAAAGGCCUACCAAGGCGACGAUGAAUAGCCGGCCUGAGAGGGUGAACGGCCACACUGUGACUGAGACACGGCCCAGACUCCUACGGGAGUGCAGCAGCUAAGAAUCUUCCGCAAUGGGCGAAAGCCUGACGGAGCGACGCCGCGUGAACGAAGAAGUGCCUAACGGUUGCAAAGUUCUUUUCUUGGGGAAGAAUAAGCCUUGCAGGGAAUGGCAGGGUGAUGACGUUAACCUGAGGAAAAAGCCCCGGCUAAUUACGUGCCAGCAGCCGCGGUAACACGUAAGGGGCGAGCGUAGUUCGGAAUUAUUGGGCGUAAAGGGCGCGUAGGCGGCAUAGCAAGUCAGGUGUGAAAGAUCUCAGCUCAACUGAGGAAACGCGCUUGAAACUGCUGUGCUGGAGUCUAGGAGGGGAAGCUGGAAUUCCUAGUGUAGGGGU
rnacentral:rRNA from 1 species